CAAUUGUAUUUAUGUUGAUCUUGAUAACUUAUACUUCCUCAGCUUGUUGCAUUUUAUGGAGCUCAUAUUCACUAUUACAUAACAUUUAUAUAACUAUGACGGUGAUAGAGACAGGAAGACAGCCAAAGAUCCCCAGGAAAACCCCACCUUCAAUCCUAAAACAGCCUGAAGGCUGAAAAACUGGACUGCUGGUUCCAGAUGAAGCCUGCCCUUUCCCAACUGAUUAUUUCUGAAUAAAGCCCACCUGCACACUGGGAGGACAGGGUGGAGCCUCAGGAAGUUCAUACCAUUUGUAGGGGGUAGGAGCCUGGCCUCUCCUGUUCCUGUGUGGUGACCUGAGAAUCAAUUUGUGAGGCAGGAAACCUGCUAGCAGGACUCUCGCUUUGCUGAGUUAAUUUUUCCUUUUUCCUUUCCACCCAAUAAGUUCCAUUUUCCUCACCCUUCUAUGUAUCCACAAGCCUAAUCAUUCCUGGUUGUGUGACAAGAGGCCAGUUUUAGCUGAACUAAGGAGAAAGUUCUGCAACAUUUUUGGCAUCCAGAUAUGGGGCUCGAGGAAAGGUGAAUUACUGCGUAUGUACAGAGUACAGAAAAAAGAAAGCAAAAGCUAAUAUCCUCAGGAUAAUUGGACAUGGGCGAGACAGAAGGAUGAGCACAUAUCUGAUGGAAAAUCAUUUGGCCGCAGAUUCUCUUCUGAAACAUCCUGUGAGUUACAGGGCUUUGACUCCUGAGUCUAAAAAGUACAUUACGUCCUGCUAAAUCUUAAACUGACAGCAGUUAAAGCCUCAUCUUCAGACCCAGUAGAAGAUGCCAAUCAAAAUAAACUGCAUUCAUGAGACACAGGGCCAGAAAUUAAAGCUAUUCAACUUCUGAAAGCCCAGGGACUAUCACGGAAGAGAAUAAUGAUGGAAUAAAUUGCAGCUAGAGAAGUGAAGAUGAAAGAGAACUAAUCCAUAAGCGAGGAGUUGUAACAUCAGAAGGACUGUUGCAGAUUACCCUGACCCCUACAGUCUGCCAAAGGAAAAUGCAGUGCCUGGAUAAGUGUCCUGCAUAUAUUCAUAUGCCAAUUUCUCAAUAAUGAUUUCCCCAGAUUUUAAUACUGGUGUAGAAUAAAAUCCCUUUUGUUUUUUUAUUCAAAUAGAGUCAUGAAAUAUUGGAAGUCACAAUUAGCAUGCAGGAUAAGUUGAUAGCUAAAAUAAUCAUAGUAUUUUAGUUUAAAUUCUUCCAUUUGAAAAAGUAUUUAGCCCUGAAUCAUAAAAACUUUUAAAGACAUAGAGAAAUAGGACUGUGGUGGGGUGAGGGGAGGGGGGAGGGAUAGCAUUAGGAGAUAUACCUAAUGCUAAAUGACGAGUUAAUGGGUGCAGCACACCAACAUGGC
rnacentral:lncRNA from 10 species